GAUGAACGCUGGCGGCAUGCCUUACACAUGCAAGUCGAACGGCAGCGCGGACUUCGGUCUGGCGGCGAGUGGCGAACGGGUGAGUAAUACAUCGGAACGUACCCUGUUGUGGGGGAUAACUAGUCGAAAGAUUAGCUAAUACCGCAUACGACCUGAGGGUGAAAGUGGGGGACCGCAAGGCCUCACGCAGCAGGAGCGGCCGAUGUCUGAUUAGCUAGUUGGUGGGGUAAAGGCCCACCAAGGCGACGAUCAGUAGCUGGUCUGAGAGGACGAUCAGCCACACUGGGACUGAGACACGGCCAAGACUCCUACGGGAGGCAGCAGUGGGGAAUUUUGGACAAUGGGGGCAACCCUGAUUCAGCAAUGCCGCGUGUGUGAAGAAGGCCUUCGGGUUGUAAAGCACUUUUGUCCGGAAAGAAAUCGCGCUGGUUAAUACCUGGCGUGGAUGACGGUACCGGAAGAAUAAGCACCGGCUAACUACGUGCCAGCAGCCGCCGUAA
rnacentral:rRNA from 1 species